rnacentral:lncRNA from 1 species
ACCAACCAAAUACAUAUUUGUAAUUUUUAAGUUUGUCAAAAAAAUUAAAUUUCUCUUUAAAGCGAUUUUCUAAAAUGCUUUAAUUUUUUUUUAAUUUUAAAAUUCAAAAAGAAAAAAUCGAAUUUUAGCAACUAAUUUUACGGUUGGUUGAUAAAAAUCCAAGUACAUUAAAUUAUGAGCAAGCAAUAUCUUCCCAUGUGAUAGAGAGAGAAUGACCUCAUAUAGAAAAUAGCAUGAGGCAAGACCAUAAAAUAA